GUGAACGCUGGCGGUAGGCCUAACCCCUUCAAGUCGGACGGCAGCACAGUAAGAGCUUGCUCUUACGGGUGGCGAGUGGCGGACGGGUGAGGAAUACAUCGGAAUCUACUUUUUCGUGGGGGAUAACGUAGGGAAACUUACGCUCAUACCGCAUACGACCUACGGGUGAAAGCAGGGGAUCUUCGGACCUUGCGCGAUUGAAUGAGCCGAUGUCGGAUUAGCUAGUUGGCGGGGUAAAGGCCCACCAAGGCGACGAUCCGUAGCUGGUCUGAGAGGAUGAUCAGCCACACUGGAACUGAGACACGGUCCAGACUCCUACGGGAGGCAGCAGUGGGGAAUAUUGGACAAUGGGCGCAAGCCUGAUCCAGCCAUACCGCGUGGGUGAAGAAGGCCUUCGGGUUGUAAAGCCCUUUUGUUGGGAAAGAAAAGCAGCAGGUUAAUACCCCGCUGUUCUGACGGUACCCAAAGAAUAAGCACCGGCUAACUUCGUG
rnacentral:rRNA from 1 species